CUACGUGCCAGCAGCCGCGGUAAUACGGAGGGUGCGAGCGUUAAUCGGAAUAACUGGGCGUAAAGGGCACGCAGGCGGUGACUUAAGUGAGGUGUGAAAGCCCCGGGCUUAACCUGGGAAUUGCAUUUCAUACUGGGUCGCUAGAGUACUUUAGGGAGGGGUAGAAUUCCACGUGUAGCGGUGAAAUGCGUAGAGAUGUGGAGGAAUACCGAUGGCGAAGGCAGCCUCCUGGGAUAACACUGACGUUCAUGCUCGAAAGCGUGGGUAGCAAACAGGAUUAGAUACCCUGGUAGUCCACGCCCUAAACGAUGUCAAUUAGCUGUUGGGCAACUUGAUUGCUUAGUAGCGUAGCUAACGCGUGAAAUUGACCGCCUGGGGAGUACGGUCGCAAGAUUAAAACUCAAAGGAAUUGACGGGGACCCGCACAAGCGGUGGAUGAUGUGGAUUAAUUCGAUGCAACGCGAAGAACCUUACCKGUCUUGACAU
rnacentral:rRNA from 1 species